AUUCUGAAGUAUUUACCACUUCGAAAUUCGACCCUGGAUAAAUCUGCCCCUCAAUGUAGCUCCAUUUAACCUUUUGGUUCAGCACUCUUCCCCUUUUCUUCCUCAGAUUACAUUAUGUGUUAUUACUACCCCCCCCCCCCCAUUGUCACCUGUGGCUUUGAAUCUUUACACGUUGAAUUGGGCGCACAGCAUUCUGAUUAAAACGUUACAAUCCAACAAAAAGGAAUGCUGUUCUUUUGGUAUCAGCACUAGAAUCCAUGACAGUUACUCAAUCUUAAAGGAACUUAAUCUCAACAUUGAUUCAGAUGUCAUCGAAAGUCUUCAGGAAUUUUCCUGUAUGAGCAACAGCAAGCAGGACCAUCCUUCGUCAUCAUGACCUGGAGCAGUGUGUCGCUGGCCCUAUCAUUGGGUAGCGAGAAAAACUGAACCACCGAAAAACAAGUCCCCAAUUGCCGAAGUCACAAAAAGAGCUGAACUACAGAAGCCGUGAAGAGACUCGAAGUCACGAAAGAGCUGAACUUGAAGUCCUGAAGCAGAGGAAAGUCCCAAAGUCACUAAAGAGCCAAACUUGGAGGUCCCGAAGCCACGAGUUCAGUUCUAUUGGACACCAAUCUUUUUGAUGCGUGGAUGUACCAGCAGGUGCACUGAGCAUUCAGCCGUCAUACCAUGAUGAUGAAUGGUGGGAGAAUGCAAAGAAUACAUAUUAUAAACAAACUCUCCGGCCCAGUGUGAUAAUGCUUGGUGGAGCAGCCGUACCUGCAGUAGGACUGGUGUCACUCACAGGUUGAUCCUGGAGCUCUACAUUGCGGUAUAAUCGAAGUCCCUAAAGGCUUCCGCAAUCUCCUUUUCCAUGGCCAAGGAACCCUCGGAGGGAGGAGUUAGAACUAGAUGUUGAUCUUUAUCCUCGGAAAGUCUAACAUCCUCAGCAUUUCGUAUAUUACAAUGCCCAGAGACCACCAGUCGACAGAUCUUGAGUAUGGCUCCCUGGCGAGGACUUCUGGUGCCAUGUAGCCAAAAGAUCCUUUCAGGCUACUUGUUCGCCCUUCAUAGCCAAUUCCUGAAAAAAAACAGUUAUUGUAGCUCUUUAAGCAGCCGCCAGCAACGUACUCCAUCAGAAAGAAUAGAUGGUAUUCUGACUGGAACGUGGCGUGGAUAUCCACAACGAAAGGGUGGUCAGCAACGGCGAAAGCAACCCGUUUCUCUAGCAAGAUCCUGAAUAUUAAAAGCAUUCAUUGUCAGAACAAGGGACAUGGAUUUUCAGGGCAUAGGAUCUUUUGGUUGCCGCGUGUUCAACAAGGAGAACCUGGAAUAAGAGAGAAUCUCAGGAAAUGCAGGAAGAUACAUGCAGAACAUCCAUACCCCUUUCAGAGAGCUGCAAGAAUCGAUCCAUACUUGCCCCAGCAUUGCAAGGUUGCAUCUUACUGUGGGUCCUUUGUCACUGCCAGUGGACAUCCUUCUGCUGCAUCAGGUGGAGUUGGGCUGAUGUUUUCUUCAUCCACAGAUAUCUCACUAUAAGGAAAAGUCUCUAAUCGUCAGGCAUGAAGCGUCAGCUUGAUAUUUCCAUCUGCCUUACCUCAGAAUGCCGGUGCCGACGCAAGAUGUUAGAAUGUCCGGCACCCAUCUUGACGCUCCUGUAUGAGAAAAAA